UGGUAGAUGCACCCUGAUUUACGCUUCCCGGCUUGCGAGUCAAGCUGGGUUUUUUUUCU
rfam:Planktothricoides sp. SR001 contig_114, whole genome shotgun sequence.